GAGCAAUGAUGAGUGAAGUAUAGUCUGAACUGGUAUUGCCGAGACUCCGUGUCUGCUCUGACCAGGGCAUGAUCACGUAAUCUUCUCUCUGAGCUA
rfam:Corvus brachyrhynchos isolate BGI_N302 unplaced genomic scaffold scaffold99, whole genome shotgun sequence.